AGGUUUCCUUGCUCUCUCAGCAGGGUAUCGAGUGCCACCGUGUCCCUGAGGUCACUCUUUCUCCUGCUGGGAGAGCACGAGGUGGAUGGAGAGGAUCCCCAGGCAUCUGCAGGCACAAGGGACUCGUACAGAUGUGAUUUUCCUACAGCCCUCAUAAGACAGACUUUGAGGGUACCAUGGGUCAUGUGCCAGCUCUCCUGCUGGAGUUUUUGUCUGCAAUAUUUGGACACAAAGAGUAGAACUAAAGUCAGGUCUGUUCUGUAGUGUGUUACACUUGCGCAAAGCUCUUUCCCUCUAUUUGUUUUCUGUUCUGGAAAGCACAGUCUGGGGUACCUGGGCACUUCCUAUUAAAUGAAAAAAAUAUUGUACUGAAAGGUGAAAGGAGCUGUCUGUUGGAGGUCAGAUGUCCAUGAUAAAAGCUUUCUGCUUUUUCAGUCAGUAAGCUUCUAAAAUAUCUUAGUGUGUAGGAAUGCCUGGCUUCUAAAACUUGCCAAUUGGGAUUUAGAGGCUUCUUGGAAGAGCAGAUUUCAGGCAGGAAAAUUGGCCCCCCAGGAGGGACUCUGUGCCUGCUCUCCCGUGGCUCCAAGGGAUCUCUGGGCCUUCACGCCGGCACCGAGAUUUUCUCGGGAAGGGCCUCAGAUCCCCAGACCAGUCUGGGACACAGGCAAGAUCCCCCUGCAGUUUAGGACCAAAUUGGGCCCCCUGGAGGGACAGUGCUGUUGGUGCCCCCCGGGUUGGGGCACCCCGAGGACUCCAGCGCGCACCGAAAGGAUUAUUCGGGGAGAUCCUUGGGGUGCCCGGCCCUGGGGAGCUCAAAGCAAGGUCCCUGCAAUGGAUUCAGGCAUUGCUGAGAGUAUCCCAGGGGUACCUGUCCCUGCUAGACAUGGAGCUCUCUAAUGGGCUGUAACUGGGUGAUAAAAGUGGUGCUCCAAGUGCCAAAGAAGUGUGGGGUUGGGAUUAAGAAAUGAGCAGUGAGGGUCCAAUUGGCUGUUUCCUCUUGAAUGUGACGGUGAGAGCUGCAGGAGUGCCAGGUGUGUGUUCCAGUCCCCAGCAUUUGGUUUGCACAUGUCCUGGUCAGACACAGGUCCAACUUCCUCAGUCCUUAACACAGUGGAAGGAGAAUGAAGGACUGGCACUGUUAAAGUGAUUGGUGUGUCAGGGGUUAAACUGGGAAAACAUUGGGUAAUUCCUCAGUUUCUGUAUUUGCCAAACUCACCCAAACCUGUGCUAGGAAGAGAUUGAUUGGAAAAGUUGAGGCAGAAAUGAAAUUGAAAAUGGGGAUAUUGACACUGUAAUUGCUGAAACUAAAUGUGUCAAAGCAGCAGCUCUUGUUGUGCAGGGAAUAACUCCUGUCAGCAGCAAGGUCCCCACUGAAGUGGCAGCUGCAGUUGUUCCUGCGGUGUGGGCCAGUGGAACUCCAGGAGAGUGGAAGAGGGCAGAACCUGUGGGUAUUACUCCUAAUGUGGGAUCUCUCCUGGAUGUGAAUGCAAGAACCUGCCAAGAAAACCAAUGGCCAAGAUGAUUGAUUAGUGCAGGACCUGAGAGAACCCCCUUAAAUGACAACCUUGAGCAGUUUCCAGUAUUAGAUUGAAAAGAUGCCCUUUGCUGCAUCUCCUUGAGCAAGGAAAGCCAAGAAACCUUUGCUUUUGCAGGAGAAAAUCUGGACAGCAGGAAGGAAGAAAAGAAACCACGUGACUCCUCCUUGAGCUCCAGACAGCCCAUGAACUGCCUUCCUGGGAAUGGUGGGACAGGUGGACUCUGGAUUGCUCCCUCUGGAUGUGUGGAACUGCAGGAACUCCUGGUGCCGCCUGGGCCGAUGGAUUGGACGCCCCAGCCCCUCCGUUCCUGCCCAGCCACUGGGGCCGUGUCGAGUGGUGGCACUGCCAGCCCUGCAGUGGGAUGUAGCCUGGAAACUCCCCAGAGCUGAGCCAAGGGAUUUAAAGGGAGCAACCAAGGGAGGUGAAGAAAGAAGGAAGAAGGAGCUGAGGCAACAGCCAAGCAGCACCAAGUUCCUCUACAACCAGGUGAGUUGUCUUGAAGUUGAUAAGGUGGUCACUUCGAACUUUGGGGGCUCCAGGCCCAGGUGACCACCAGAGACCCCCAAUGAAGCCCCUCAGAGACCUUAAAAGGGGACACUGAGCUGGUCUACCUGUGACAAGAAGAGCAAGUGGGCUGUGAAGGUUUGGAGCAGUCUGGAAGGUUCCUUGUGCCCAAAGGAUCCUGGAAGUGCAGCCCUGGAAGAGUCAGGAAUAAUGACAAGUGCCCCAGUUCUCAUGAAGCUCAACUUCAUAAAACAUUUAUGGAGCUAAAAUUCCACAGCAUUGAACUAUUGGGUCCCAAAUAAUAUUGGAGGGAGAGGCAGAAAAUCCCAAUGCUGCUGGGGCUGAACUGUCUGCAGUGAGGGGGCAGGACUUGGCCCUGAUGCCUGAGUGCUCUCCAGCCCCCCAGGAUGGAUCCCAACUGUCAGCCCCUGGCUCCAUCCCUUGAGAAGAUGGUGUUCCUGCAAGCCCAGCUGCUGUGCUGGUGGUCCUGGGGGCAUCUCCUGCCCUGGCCUGCUGUGACUGUGUUUGUGUUGCAGCUCAAUAAAGUCCCUUUCAGUGCUGAUUGUGUCAUUUUGGUGUCAGUUCCUCUUCCCCUGCCCCUGUGGCUGCAUCACUGCCUUGUGCCUAAAUGAACUCUUCCCCAGCAGCAGUUCCCUGCUGCUCUCAGAGAGGGUGGAGCUGAGGCCCCUGAGCCAAGGGAAAAAGGAUCCAUCCAAGGCAGGCCAGUGCUCACCCCCGCCUUCCUCCAGCCUCCCGUGUUUCCAGUUCCCCUCCCUGCUGGACACUCAGCCUGUUCCCAAACAACCCCUGUUCCUGUUCUCUCUCCAUGUCUCCCCUCACAACUCCCCUCCUCUAAUCUCCAGCUGCCCAGGCCCCUGUUUUUGAGGGGCAUUCCUGGGCUGCUGCCCCCCCAUUCCUUAGAACUGAAGUGCCAAGAGCCCCAAGUGCAGAGAGGUCUGCAGGGAAUCAGUGCCAAGAGCUGCCUGUGCCUGCCUGUGUUCCUGCAGUUCUCCUUCCUGUUCUCCCUGGGCUGGAGAGCCCUGCCUGCCCUGGGUUUAUUGGAGCAGAGGGAUGGGAUUACAUUGGUGCAGAAGGGAUGUUCACAGACACUUGUUUUCUGACAGGCAGUGCCAUUUUCCUUCUGCCUUUCCCAAGUUUUCCCAAGUGCUGCCCAGCACGGGGAUCCGUGUGCUGGGACAGUGAUUGGCAGGAGGAAGGGGAGCCUUGGCCUCACCUGCCCAGCUCAGGCCAGGCCAAAGCCCUGCUCCAGCCCAGCUCUGCCAAGUGCCCUGGGCUGGGAGCAGCCAAAGGCAAGAGGCUGCAGCCCCGCCGGCCGGGCUGGGGGCUCCUGGUGCUGCCCGUGGGGUGGGGUGUGCCCAGGACGCUGCUAAUGCCCAGGGAUCUGCUCUGGGUCCAGGCUGUCCGUGCUGGAGGGCCCUGGUGGCUGCAGUCCCUGAGCCCGCAGAGACAGAGAGAGCCCCGGCCCGAGUGGCCUUUGGCCCCUUGUC